AAGUAAAAAGAAUGAAAAGAAAGCUACAUUAUACGAAAAAAAUCUUAAUAAAACAGAUGAAUUGUUUUAAUCAUUAUACUUACCCUUCGAGUGUCCUUGAAUUCUAUUAUGGUCGUUGCUCGUGUGACAAGAUAUAUUAAACACGUAAACAUGGCGUGCAUGCGUAUAAGAUGAUAGAAAUGCCGGUGGGAUCUCUGAAUAUGUGAAGUAUAUGAAGUGUGUUUUAGUAGAUUUAUUAAUCCAAGCAUAUUGCGCAACUUAAAAUAUGGGCAGUAUUUUACCUCGGCCUUUUACCUAUGG